rnacentral:rRNA from 1 species
UACAGAGGGGGCAAGCGUUGUUCGGAAUUACUGGGCGUAAAGGGCGCGUAGGCGGCCUUGCAAGUGACGGGUGAAAUCCCUCGGCUUAACCGAGGAACUGCCUGUCAAACUGCGUGGCUUGAGACCAGGAGAGGUGAGUGGAAUUCCCAGUGUAGCGGUGAAAUGCGUAGAUAUUGGGAGGAACACCAGUGGCGAAGGCGGCUCACUGGCCCGUAACUGACGCUGAGGUGCGAAAGCGUGGGAGCAACAGG